AAAAGGCCAACGGGCAAAAACACACACAGGAACCGGGACAAAAGGCAGGCAGGAACUAGGAACAUCCAGGACAAUAGACAAUGACGCGACCAGUGACAAGAGACACACACGGCUUAAAUACGCUAGGGAGGUGCAGGUGAUUGGACACAGGUGGAAACAAUCAGACAAUCACAGGGGAUGACAGGACCAGGCAGGAAGUGAAGUUACCCAGCGAGACAAGAAGCAGAAACUACAAAAUAAGACAGGAAACAAGCUGCACCGUGACACUUACUUAGCAUGUUGCCAGACUGGCUGUCAGGCGUACUGCGUCUGGAUCCUGUUAAAUACAUAUUAUGCUGUACAUUUGUGUUGUUUAAUGUCUUCCUGCAGCAAACAAAUUGCCCUUCUGGAACAAAGAACGAACUGACUCAUCCACUCACUCAUCCAUUAUGGGCUUGAUAUGCAUUUCCAUACGAUUCACAUGGUGUCUCAGGUCUUCUGGAAUCCAGUGACGUCUCAUCAGCUGCAGAAUACUGCAGAAUUGUAGAAAGAUAUUUAGAAUCUUCUCCAUUUCUGAAUCAGUAAAUCUGACUGAUGCCGUGGUCUAUUUGAACACACACUUAUCCCAGCUGUGUACACCUGGAUUGAAUCAGCUCCCCUUCUCAUCCCGGCUCGGCAAAACGUGCAACCGAUUAAGCCGCCACGAGCAGAUCACACCAAGUCAAGCGGUGCCUUUUCAGUUAUCCUGGAUUUCUUUAUUCUACUUUUGUGCAAUAACCCUCUGAUGUAACGAAUUAGCCCACUGUAUACAGAUAAACUAUAGUAAUGACUAACAGGGUCCAGAAUGCACAGGUUAACAGGUUCUAUUACCCUGGAAAACACAACGUGAGGGAGGACGUGAGGCCGCUGGCCGGGUGACUGUGGUCCGUUGCUCCGCUCUCAGUCUGGACUCUCUCACGUUGCGUCGCCCUACAAGCGUAAUGAUCACAGCAUCACUGAGCCACUCAAACUCCUCCACCACGUUAAGGGGGUGAUUUACUGUUUUUGUGGGAAACCCAAGAAGGGAUGAAAUGCACGGCUGCAAAUUAAGAUAAAGGGGUUUCUGUAUUUGCGUAUACGUGUACCCUGAACCCGGUCAUGUCCAGGUAACCUACCACAGACAGUUUGACGAAUCAAGGGUUACAACGUGUGAACAUAGUGCGACAGUUUCAUUAAACCAUCACUGGAAAAUGGCUUCUCAGUUUCAUUUUUCAAGUUAUAUAGCGUGCAAGCUGCACAUGCUGUUUAUCUAAAGUAACGGUAACGCGAUUUCCUGUGCGUGCUCAUCGGGGUGUAACGCCGGCACAUUUUACCUCUUUCUGUGAUUCCCACACUAGCAAAGUCAUCCGGCGGGCUGAUGUUUGACACCUCUGGUCUGGAAGGAUUCUGAGGGUGGAGGAAAACAGUCGGAGUGGAGCUCUUUCCUUUUAAGUUUCCGGCGAACAUCAAAGAAGAGCAUGUGAAUAUUUAACAAGCAGAUUUGCAGAUUUUUUUAAUACAUUUUUGGUAUUUUUUCAUCCAUCUUAUCCGUCCCUGUGCUGCAUUUCGUGACACCCAAUUACAGAGACCUGAUCCGCGUACCCGUCCACUUAGCUUUCAUGACACAAACCGCGGUGUAAUUUGCGAGGAAUGCGAGCAUCCUUCACAAAAACGGUAAAUAAAUAAAAGCGAGACAACCCCUCGCCUGCCUGCGUGUACCACACAGGCGCUUAGUUUCAAAGUAGCGCCGGCGUGCACGGCCCGCAUGCCUUCGUACGCCGGCCUCCCUUUCUCCUCGGGCCCUGAGGUGAAUGUGGCCUUUGAGAGGCGAGGGAAAGCAAACACGUAGCCGCCAGCUCUCGCCUGGGAAAAGAACAUCCACACUGAGUGGGGCCGUCUGCAGAGCGACAGCCUGAGCAAACAGCCUGAGAGGGCUUCAUGAGGGGGGGGGGGGGGCUGCUGGCUGACUGAGGGGCUUCAGGAAGCCCGCCGGGGUCGUACCUUUAAAACAGGGAACGCUUUUUAUCUCAUCUAAUGCCCUCAGAGCGAGAGGCGGUCCAAGACGAUGUUUAGCGAGCACAGAACCGCUGUGUGGUGGUCAUGGUCGGGUUUUAAUAACAUUUCGAUUAAUCUCCAACCCUUUCAGAAGGUUUAUUAUUUUUUUUAAACGAUAUAAGUUUGAAUAACUCAAACUCAAAAAUGUAUUUAAGAGCUUUUAUCUGUUUUUUUUCCGAUGGAGAGGGAAGAAUCACAACUGCUUUUAUAAAUAGGGUUCACGUUUUUAACCCCAAAAUAUGAUUAUUUGAAUCACAUGACAUGCUGAUUUAACAUGUAUUUCAUCUUUCAUGUUUAUAUUAAACGUUGUAUUGAAUACAUCAUCUGUAAUUAAGAUGAUUUGUAUCAACGUUUCACUGGGAAAUUUAUCUGAAAGUGAGAUUCAGAUCAGUGAGAUCAUUUGGCUCUGUGAGCAGACUGAAGACCGUGGUCCACCUUCUGGUCUUAGUGACCACACUGGUAUGUGAUCCCACUAGUGAAACAAACAUUCACAAUCUCAGCGAUGUGGGGUUCAGUGUCUGGGGCACUUUGACAUGUGCACCGCGGCGAUGGAACCAGCCUUUUGAUUCCCGCCACACAAGUUUCCAUAGAUAAUGGUUCUAUCUGGACCCUGUUCCUUCCUCCUACCGUGGUCCUGGUGACACCUGCUGCUGCCAUCAUCCUCAUUAUUACUAUUACUGUCAUCAUAAACCAACAUGGCCCUUUCCUAAAGUCUUUGUGCUUUCCCUCCUACAGGCUUCUGUGGAUGGUGGUUCUAUCUGCUGGUGGUUCUAUCUGCUGGCGGUUCUAUCUGCUGGCGGUUCUAUCUGCUGGUGGUUUUAUCUGCUGGUGGUUAUAUCUGCUGGUGGUUCUAUCUGCUGCAGGUUCUAUCUGCUGGUGGUUCUAUCUGCUGCAGGUUCUAUCUGCUGGUGGUUCUAUUUGCUGGUGGUUCUAUCUGCUGCUGGUUCUAUCUGCUGCUGGUGGUCCCUGCAGUGGUCUGCUGUACACCUGCUUACUAUUCACAAUUAUCUGAAUCAUCUCUGUCAUAUGAAUUGAAUGUCAUGUUCAUCUUCUACAUUGUUUAUUCUGUACACAUGACGUCAUUGUAGUCUGUCCAUCAGGAGACAGAUCUUCCUCUGACCUUCUCGCUGAGGUUUCUUCCCCUUUUCUCUAUGAAAGGGUUUUCAUUUUUGGGGGGGGUUUCCUGUGCUGCUGUGAGGGUUUCGGGACCUCUGAGGCAAAUUUGCAAUUUUGAUCUACACAAAAUAUAAAAUAUAAAAUUGAAUGAAUUCCUCCAGGUUUGUGAUGACUUGGUUUGUAGAAACUACAACAACUUAUUUCUGACUGAAGGAACCUUUAGGUGAAUGUACACGCCCACAGGAAGUAGUUCAACACACCUUUUUUCAAACCAUCUAUCUGAAGAAUCUUUGCAGAUGGAUGAAGUUAAUAAAAGUAAAUAUUACCCCUCCUCAUUUUGCUUAACCAAAUCAAGAGGUUUAGAUGUGGAGCAACUGGCUUUGAGUGGUAUUAGAGUGGGCGGGGGGGGGGGGGGUUACUGGCUUGUUUAUCCAGCGUCCCCCAAGUCGUGACUACUGUUCACGCAGGCAGGAUCAGAGCCCGCCGAUCGGGGCUUUGAGUGUUUAGUCCGUGGAUUAGCCAUUGUGGCGGCCUAGCACCAUCACCCCCCACCCCUCACCACCCCCCCCCCCCCCCUCAUCGGCCACCCAGCCCUCUACACGAACUCCAUUGUGAGCACCCAGCACCCAGGGGGGUCACAGUCCAGUAUUCACUUGGAAUUAGAGAACGGGAUGGCUGAUCUGGGACCAAAUUCGCGUCUCAGUCAAUCAAAGGUGGGGACAGAAGCGCGGGAGGAGCCGUGUCUCCUGCUGAGUCGGGGACGUCUCCUCGACCAGGCGUCCGAUACCACAGCGCUCACACACCAAUGCACAAGGCGCCGUUUGGCGUCUGUACCAGAUGUACCAGUAUGACAACGGCCGUGUAGUCAAACAAACACAGAACUUUAAGCCAGGAGACCUUUGUGUCCCAACGCUGGAACUAAUUACAUUUUUUAUGUUCUUUUAUGCCCACGAGGUGAACCUGUACAUCGCACCCUCACACAGCACAUGAGCCGAUCUGCUGCCACAUAGCCGCAGUGCCGAGGCGACGGGCCGCCGGAGCACCGAGGGGCCGACAGAUGGUCGACCCAGGAGAGACGUCUUUCACCAGGCGGCAGCGCCAGGAGCCGCCAACAAAGAAGAUCUCCAAUCAGAGGCCCCCCCCCGGGGGGGGGAACAAUGGGCCAAGUGCAGGGUGAGUCAUUCCUCAUUCACCCGGCAGCUGGCCGGGAACCAACAGGUCGGCAUGCUCGGCCUCCACAUGGACCCCGGGGGGGGGGAACCUCGCCACGACGAGGCCCGGGACGGACAACUUGUCGGCAGACGAUCAAACUGGCGAGACCAAUCAGCGGCGGUGGAAUCGCGGACCUCUUUGAUGGCUCUCGGUUUUGUUGGAGCACCUGUUUGACACCGUCUCACUUUGAUCUCCCCGUCUCCCUCUCGGAGGGGUUGGGAGGGGGGAGGGAGUGGGAAGGGGGGGCUUCUUCUAACAAUAAGCAGGUUUAUCUCACUUCAGAUGUGUUGAGGAAUUUGCACAUGACAGUGAUGUCCGGCUUGAAUGUAAAGAAUUCCAAAAGCAGAAACCUAUUUGCGUGUUACCCCAACACGGACAUAUGAGGCACAUUCGGUAAAUAUCCAAUCGAAUCCAUUCAAACGCGUGUUGAAUAAGAGUGGAACGUGUAAUUCAUUCGGAUCGUUAGCGUUAUCUCUCUGAGCUGAGUGUGGAACAGGCGAAGGGUUCGCUUCAGCUUUGCGCUCGCACAAAUAUGCCAACAUUUACACGUCCCAGAUACCGGUGGAAAGAACCGCCCCGGGUGCCGUUAAAGGGACUGUUAAGUGCUUUACGCUGCGCAGUAAGAUGUGCUUUAACUGCCUCGCCGUCUGAUGACAUUUCUAUCUAGACAGAGCAGCCGGACUGAGCCCCGUUAAAGAUAAUGGCACUCCACAAACACAAAAAGCCCAGACAGGCCAACGCCAGUAAAGAUCUAGCAAAUUAUACCAGGGGAAAAAAGAAGUCGCUUUGUUAUUUGGGCUGAAGAAGAGGACUCGGGACAUGUGGAACGCCGCAGCAGCCACGCAGGCCGCGCGCCUGGUGAAAAAGUGUCCUGGCAACGCUCCGGUCCGCUCAGCCUCCGUCACACAGCCUGUCCUGUGGCAGACGGCCAUCACGACACAUCUGGAUGGUUCAUUUCCACCAAAAUACAGUGUGGUGAAAGUCAGCAGAAUGUGGAGGUGAAGCCGGCAUCACGUGUGCUGAACGUUGGACAGGAGUGUGUACUUUAUCUCAACGAUCUCAUAUGAGUUCUUUUGUCACCAAAAGUCCAACUCGGCUCUGCCAAUGACGUUCACGCCGGAGGAUCAAGCCGCAUGAUUAACAUGCAACACGGGAAGAAGUGUGUCCGGUGCCAAAAGGCGAGAGAGCAAUUUUUUUGUUUUUUUUAGAGGCGUGUAACCUGAUAUCUGCAUAUCACGCCAGACAUGUACACUUCCUAAGAAGCAGGUCUUCCUGAGACACAGCGAGCUAACCGUACACUCAGUCUACGAUGCUCACUGAGGUGAGAAGUCGUUUUCUCACGCAAACAGACUUCUUUUUGCAGCCAUAGGAGUUGCGCCCCGAUGGGAAUCAGAGAGAAUCCAUGUCCAAAGUCAACUUUCCACACCCAUCAACCAAAAUAUCGGAACAAAUACCUUUAUGUGUCUUUCUGCUGAGGUAUUUCAUCCUGGACCAAAGUGGUGGAGAAGCUUUCACGAGCUCGUCCAACAUCAAUCUCUGUCUAAAAACGGCAGCCUUAGCGUGGAGUCAAUUAAACCCAACCAACGCCUCUUUCUGUGCUUGUUUACGCCAUCCAGCCACCACUAGAAAUAGUCUCAAUCUAUGGAAGACUGCACGAGCGAUGCAGUGGCUCCAUGCCAGAUAACAGAGGUCCUGCUGGGACGCUGAUGCACGGUUCGGCUCCCAGGUUGUGUGUAUCACAGUGAGACCGCGAUGCAUCAGUCAGCGCAGACACAAUCGAGGAUAAGAGUGUGAUCAGGGUUAGAAGUGAGACAGCAGUGCGACGUGAUGGAUGGUGAAGAACGCUGAAGAACGCCGAACGGUUUGAGAUCCUCUGGACAAAUAAACGUUCGACACACUCACAGCCCGCCAGUGGACCCGUGUCUCCGUGUGUCUCACCAGGACCCAAAUCCCCGGGCACUGCCUCUGCCAAGCAGUGUAAAUAUUUAGGGUCACCCGUCGCACAGUGGAAAAAUAGAGCUGCGACUUCGACUGCGUUCCGCAAACACGACCUGGUCUGUGUGGACAGAAGCCAGCGGCGCAUACCUGCGAGUGUUUGUGUGAAAGGCUUUUUACUUCUAUUUUACUUUUCAGGGCGACUUUGACAGGAGGCAGUAAAGCGGUAUCGGCGCGAUGAGGGCGCCGUGCCAUUCGGGGGGAGCACAUUAAUCACGGCUGGAGAAAAGGCUCAACGUAAACAGCGGCCCUCCUCCGACGGAGCCGCCGCACCGCGAGGCCCACAGAACCUCUUUCCUCUUAUGGUCUUUGGCUUUUUCUUUUCCUAUAUAUAUAUAUAUAUAUAUAUAUAUAGAACCUAGAGAGAACAACCAAGUAUUUACCCUUUCCCCUCAGAAUUCUCUCCUUGUCAAGUUAAAUUAACAUUUGGACCAUCAUGCAACAGUGAAAGCCACACUGCACGAAGUACUUGCACCGUAUUAAUGCAAAAGAUCACGUCUCCCUGUUCGGCUGUUUGGAUCCUUUGAGGAGAGAGUACACAGGCAUCAUUGUUUUAGGUUUUUACUCAUUUUCACCAGUAAAUCCAGAAGUAGCUGUAUAGAUAUUAGAUAAAUAUCUCAUGUUUGUCCCCACGGACUCAAAUGUGCAUUUUCUCAAUCUAAAUCUCAACCGUAUUUAACAUUAAAUUAUACAUUACAAUUUUGACCUUUUAAGGAUAUUAAAUUAAAAUGUGAAAAUCCUUGUGGAUUAAGUUUAACUCUCCAUAAACAUCGAUGAUGCAAAACACACAGACGAUGAACACGCAGACAAAUGCGCACAUGUAGUUUGCUGGCAUUUAACCUUGUAGAUAAAUCCCACAUAUACGAGCCACAUAAUCCGAUUUACCUCGAGCGGGCUGAGCUGACGGUGAAGGCAUGAAACGAUUGGGUAAAAAUGCAACGCGAGGCAGAAGGAGCAGACGGGUGUGAUAGAUUAGUGCACGUUACACAGAAUCCUGUGUGUGGGUUUGUAAAUCAGGAAAUCAGAGGCGACUUUCAGAAGAAAAAGAAAUUGUUGGGGAUCUGCUACACUAGAAGCAUUGACAGGCACGUUGAAAAGAGCCUCAGAGCCUGAAGGAAAACUACCCGGACACGAGGGGAUUGAUUCAACUUUUGUGCGUGUGGCCUCUGGUGGACACUCGGCCGCCGAAAAAACGCCUAUAAGACUCAUUCAGAGGUAGAAAAUACAGCUUUGACCCCACAAGGAGACACGGGCGCCCGGACCCCAACAACUCGUAACGCUAUCAUCACUCUGCGCUUUGACCAGAGGGAGGAAAAGGUUCCCGUCCCGCGUUUCGAGACGUAUUAAACUGCAUGAAUAACGUAUUGAGUAAAUAACGGUGUUUGCGGCCGCACGACUGCCCCUGAAUGGCUCUUAUUCAGUGGGUCCACUGACAGGCUCCCUUGUGCUCUCCUGCACUCACCCCGCCGCGACCUGCGCUGGUCCUACACGGAGGUGGAACUCGCCCAGGUACAAUCACGGUGGCUUUGUGUGUCUUCAGCUAUUUAUCCUCAAAGACUGCAGCUUCGACCAAAUACCCGGUGAAGAAAGUGGAGCAUUUAGCAGAGCCAGAGCUUUUUAAUGGUGGAGACCGAACCAGUAAAUGUUGUUCCUACUUAUUUACCCGGCGGAUGCAAAUCCUAGAGGCCUAAAAACGAAUGCUAAUGUUCCUUCACACCGUCCAAAAUAAUAAAGGCGAGGAAACGGUUUAGGUGGAGGCGGUGAGGAGUCAGCGGGUCCGAUCCAAGAGAAAUAGAAGCCACACAAUCGGACUCUUGGCUUGAAAAAGGACAAAUGUGUCCCAGAAUACAAAUACAUUUAACGCAAUGCUCACAUGAGUGAAUAAAUAUGUUAAUGAUAAAUAGUCCUCGUGUCGGCAGACAGAAUAUCUACAUUCACAUUAUCACUGUCAUAUUACAGCCCUUUCCUUUUCUCUCAUAAGACCUGAAAGGCAUAAAAAUCUAAAUCCUUCGUCUUUUCAAACACCCAAAGUUGUCCGUCACUCUUUCGCCUGACGAGGAGAAAAGUGGAAUCAGACUGGACGGAGAUGCUGAGAUGCGUUUCUCAUUACUGUGAGACGAGUCGGUUGUGAUUUAAGUCGUCCUGCAUCAUUUCCUACCAAUAGGAGAGGAGAUCCUGCAGCGGAGUCUUCGUCAGACGCCUUUGAAGUGUGAGUCAAAGAAGACAAAGGAGAGCGUUUUGACAUCAACAGAUGUGGUAAAACAACUACGUAAAAGGUUCUGUCUCCAUUUGUAUGAGACAGUGAUGUCUUUUUCAUCGUCAUGCUGUUUUAUCAGCACGGGGAUGAAACCAUGACUGCAGGUCUUAAACGCAGCAGAACCUGCGUCGUCUCUCCUCUUCUGAUACAACGACGGGUUUUCUUGGCCGGCUCACCUGGUGUCGAAAACCUAAUCAGCUCUUUCUUUCCAGAAGAGGUUGAUGAGUCCAAGAUGAAAAGCAAUCGGAUCAAUUUGAAAACGGGAAUAGUGGUUGGAACUAUUAGCCCACAACACAGAGCUGAUCUCAACCCCAGAUCUUCAGAGUUCCACCAGCUGGGGAUGCUUAUUGGUUCUUUUGGAGAUAAAUGGAUGAGAUAUGUGGUGUGGGACAGUUUAAAGGGAAGCAUACAAGCCAUAAAGACAUGCAUGAUCAUGGAUAUAACUGUGAGAGUGUGAAUAGAUGAUAGAAAUAGUGAACUGCGCGAUCACUGGAUUCAAACAUCCGACAGUCAGUGGUGCUCGCAAUAAAAACCGGGUGAACUCAUAAGAGCAAACAGACGCUCUUCUCCAGAUUUGAAUUUCAAUUGGGUCCCCCGCCUGCUUAACAAGAGGAGGACAAUAUUAAUCAUAAGAAUGUGCUUCAGCACGAAGCUUUAAUCAUGGACAAAGCGUGAAUCAGAUUAAUUCACCUGAACUAAACGCAACGUAUCUUUAAUAAAUCAAGAGAAGCUGUCAGAAGAAAAAGUAAAAAGCAUCAACUUGAGCAGCAUCGAUUAACAAUAAUUCUGCUGGUUGUCGUCAUUCAGGUCACAGGGGGGGGUCCUGGAAUACGGAGCUUUGAGCGGGGACGGAAAGGCUUCCCCUCUAAUGAGUUAUUUCCUCUGCUUCCCUGCUCGGCUUCCUGAUGUGUGCAGAUGCUGCUGCGGCAGCGGCCUCCGAGGGACUAAAGUCGGCGACGCUCUUCUGCUCUUCCGACAGUUUGACUCUCUGGAAACACGCUGUGUAAUUUUCCCGAAGCCAGUCGAGUCUCCAUUUCUUUUCCAACCACUAACUCAUUACAGUUGAUGCAUCAGGACAAAGGAAUGCCGGAGCCCGCGAGUCGAGUUCAGAGGAGGAGGAGGAGGAGGCUGACGGAGGGAUGGAUGGAUGGAUGGAGGG
ensembl:lncRNA